rnacentral:rRNA from 1 species
AGAGUUUGAUCCUGGCUCAGAACGAACGCUGGCGGCGUGCCUAACACAUGCAAGUCGAACGGAUCAAGCAAGGAGCAUAGAGCAGAGAGCAAAGGGUUAUGACUCUAAAUCUCUAUGCUCCGUGCUCUUUGCUUGGUUAGUGGCGGACGGGUGAGUAACACGUAGGUAACCAACCCUCAAGCGGGGGACAACUCUUCGAAAGGAGAGCUAAUACCGCAUAAGACCACGAACUGGGAUGUUAGUGGUAAAAGGAGCAAUUCACUUGAGGAUGGGCCUGCGGCCUAUCAGGUAGUUGGCGGGGUAACGGCCCACCAAGCCUAAGACGGGUAGCCGGACUGAGAGGUUGAACGGCCACACUGGAACUGAGACACGGUCCAGACUCCUACGGGAGGCAGCAGUGGGGAAUUUUGCGCAAUGGGGGAAACCCUGACGCAGCGACGCCGCGUGGAGGAUGAAGGUCUUCGGAUUGUAAACUCCUUUUGUCGGGGAAGAUAAUGACGGUACCCGAUGAAUAAGCCACGGCUAACUCUGUGCCAGCAGCCGCGGUAAGACAGAGGUGGCAAGCGUUGUUCGGAAUUACUGGGCUUAAAGGGCGCGUAGGCGGUGGAGUAAGUCUGAGGUGGAAGAUUAGGGCUUAACCCUAAAAUUGCCUUGGAAACUGCAUCACUUGAGUAAGCGAGGGGAUGGC